ACGGGUGAGUAAUACUUAGGAAUCUGCCUAUUAAUGGGGGACAACAUCUCGAAAGGGAUGCUAAUACCGCAUACGCCCUACGGGGGAAAGCAGGGGAUCACUUGUGACCUUGCGUUAAUAGAUGAGCCUAAGUCGGAUUAGCUAGUUGGUGGGGUAAAGGCCUACCAAGGCGACGAUCUGUAGCGGGUCUGAGAGGAUGAUCCGCCACACUGGGACUGAGACACGGCCCAGACUCCUACGGGAGGCAGCAGUGGGGAAUAUUGGACAAUGGGGGGAACCCUGAUCCAGCCCUGCCGCGUGUGUGAAGAAGGCCUUAUGGUUGUAAAGCACUUUAAGCGAGGAGGAGGCUCUCUUGGUUAAUACCCAAGAAGAGUGGACGUUACUCGCAGAAUAAGCACCGGCUAACUCUGUGCCAGCAGCCGCGGUAAUACAGAGGGUGCGAGCGUUAAUCGGAUUUACUGGGCGUAAAGCGUGCGUAGGCGGCUUUUUAAGUCGGAUGUGAAAUCCCCGAGCUUAACUUGGGAAUUGCAUUCAAUACUGGGAAGCUAGAGUAUGGGAGAGGAUGGUAGAAUUUCC
rnacentral:rRNA from 1 species